rnacentral:rRNA from 1 species
CAGCCGCCGCGGUAAGACAGAGGAUGCAAGCGUUAUCCGGAAUGAUUGGGCGUAAAGGGCUCGCAGGCGGUUUCUUAAGUCUGAUGUGAAAGCCCCCGGCUCAACCGGGGAGGGUCAUUGGAAACUGGGAAACUUGAGUGCAGAAGAGGAGAGUGGAAUUCCACGUGUAGCGGCGAAAUGCGUAGAGAUGUGGAGGAACACCAGUGGCGAAGGCGACUCUCUGGUCUGUAACUGACGCUGAGGAGCGAAAGCGUGGGGAGCGAACAGGAUUAGAUACCCCCGUAGUCCCUGUCUCUUAUAC